rnacentral:lncRNA from 1 species
UUUUCAGUUCCUGUUCAAGUUAGAGCCCCAUACUUCAUGUUUCUGACUUGAUGAGGGAUUUUUCGUUUUGAGCUCAGAGCCAAGAGUGAAGCUCUCAGUGGAAUGUUAUAGUCAUCUCCACCCCUGGACCCUGGCCUAGAAUUCUGGUUCCUUUGCAACGGACCAACUUUCAACACACUAGAUGUUUGGGAAAUUUUGUAUAUGUGUGUGUUAAAAAAUAUACAUCUUUCAAUCCUCAUUCAUUUGGGAGAAGAAUUUCACAAGUAUUAACAACUCAAGAAAGCAAGUCAUCCUGUAAAAAUGAUUUAGCAGAAUAAUUAGCUAACUUGACAGAAACUAAAUGACCAUCCAAAAAAUAACUGGGGACCAACCAUGCAGAAGAUUACAUUCUUAUGGAAAAUGUUGUCUUUUCUGCUUAAUCAUAAAGACUCAGUUUGUUCCAACUCUUUCCCAUAAAUACAAGAUGGAGAUUACCUCUUUCAAAUGGUCUUGCCUAGUGUCUUAACUAGCAUGUAAGAUUCUUUGGUUUUUUGAGAAAUUCUGGGGGUGUUCUGGAACCUAGAUAUUCAACUGAAUGUCUA